UACAGGAUCAUAGAAAUGAAAGUAACCUCUGAAGUACUUUCAUCUACCUUCUAUCAUUGGCAAUGCAUCCUCUGAUUCGCCUCUGCACUCUCAGCACGUUGGAAACACCUGGCACAGGACAGGCUGCAGAUCAGAAUUCACAAAGCAGAACAAAUAUGGCCUGAUCACCAGUGACUACAAGAGAACGACUUCCCCACUUGAACACUAUAUUUCUAUUAAUACAACAAAAGAUUGAUUUUUUUUUAAAGUACCAUCACACUGGGUUGACUCAUCAUCUACUCACAAUCAAUUGCUGCUAAGGCCGACUCAGUCUUCCUGGAUCCGAGGUCCACCGUGGUGCGUUAAUGUUCACCUGACUUCUCUGAGCAGCCUACCAGUGAAAUGACCUUCUCAGGUGAUAUCUGGAACCAAGGAAAUGAAACCCACUGUUUGGCUUAGCCUGAACCACACGUCCUACCUCCUAGAGAUAAAGGUGGCGUCGGCUUCGGUGGAACUACAUGGGUGUCUCAAAGGACAGAGCAUCUGGGAAAGGACAAUACAUACUGUAUUGAGGACAA